rnacentral:rRNA from 1 species
AGCGAACGCUAGCGGCAGGCUUAACACAUGCAAGUCGAGCGCCUAUCUUCGGGUAGGAGCGGCGAACGGGUGAGUAACACGUAGGUCACGUACCCUAUGGUGGGGAAUACCCCGAGGAAACUCGGAUCAAUGCCCCAUAUGCCCGCAAGGGUGAAAGCGCUUCGGCGCGCCAAAGGAUCGGCCUGCGGCCCAUUAUUUAAUCCUAGUUGGUGAGGUAACGGCUCACCAAGGGUACGAUGGGUAGCUGGUCUGAGAGGACGAUCAGCCACACUGGAACUGAGACACGGUCCAGACUCCUACGGGAGGCAGCAGUGGGGAAUAUUGCACAAUGGGCGCAAGCCUGAUGCAGCAACGCCGCGUGAGGGAUGAAGGCCUUCGGGUUGUAAACCUCUUUUAGCAGGGAAGAAGCGAAAGUGACGGUACCUGCAGAAAAAGCACCGGCUAACUACGUGCCAGCAGCCGCGGUAAUACGUAGGGUGCAAGCGUUGUCCGGAAUUAUUGGGCGUAAAGAGCUCGUAGGCGGUUUGUCACGUCUGCUGUGAAAAUCCAAGGCUCAACCUUGGACUUGCAGUGGGUACGGGCAGGCUAGAGUGCGGUAGGGGAGAUGGGAAUUCCUGGUGUAGCGGUGGAAUGCGCAGAUAUCAGGAGGAACACCAAUGGCGAAGGCACAUCUCUGGGCCGUAACUGACGCUGAGGAGCGAAAGCGUGGGGAGCGAACAGGAUUAGAUACCCUGGUAGUCCACGCCGUAAACGGUGGGUGCUAGCUGUGGGCCACAUUCCACGUGGUCCGUGACGAAGUUAACACAUUAAGCACCCCGCCUGGGGAGUACGGCCGCAAGGCUAAAACUCAAAGGAAUUGACGGGGGCCCGCACAAGCGGCGGAGCAUGCGGAUUAAUUCGAUGCAACGCGAAGAACCUUACCAAGGCUUGACAUAUAGAGGAAAAGUGCAGAAAUGCACUCCCCGCAAGGUCUCUAUACAGGUGGUGCAUGGUUGUCGUCAGCUCGUGUCGUGAGAUGUUGGGUUAAGUCCCGCAACGAGCGCAACCCUCGUCCUAUGUUGCCAGCACGUAAUGGUGGGAACUCAUGGGAUACUGCCGGGGUCAACUCGGAGGAAGGUGGGGAUGACGUCAAAUCAUCAUGCCCCUUAUGUCUUGGGCUUCACGCAUGCUACAAUGGCCGGUACAGAGGGCUGCAAUACCGCAAGGUGGAGCGAAUCCCAAAAAGCCGGUCUCAGUUCGGAUUGAGGUCUGCAACUCGACCUCAUGAAGUCGGAGUCGCUAGUAAUCGUAGAUCAGCAACGCUACGGUGAAUACGUUCCCGGGCCUUGCACACACCGCCCGUCAAGUCACGAAAGUCGAUAACACCCGAAGCCGGUGGCCUAACCGCAAGGAGGGAGCCGUCGAAGGUGGGAUUGGUGAUUGGGACU